UCAGGAAUCUUGGACAAUGGGGGCAACCCUGAUCCAGCCAUGCCGCGUGAGUGAAGAAGGCCUUCGGGUUGUAAAACUCUUUCAGAUGUGAAGAUGAUGACGGUAACAUCAGAAGAAGCUCCGGCUAACUUCGUGCCAGCAGCCGCGGUAAUACGAAGGGAGCGAGCGUUGUUCGGAAUCACUGGGCUUAAAGCGUACGUAGGCGGAUAUGAAAGUCAGGAGUGAAAGCCCGGGGCUCAACCCCGGAAUUGCUUCUGAAACUUCAUAUCUUGAGUCCGGGAGGGGAUAGCAGAAUUCCCAGUGUAGAGGUGAAAUUCGCAGAUAUUGGGAAGAAUACCAGUGGCGAAGGCGGCUAUCUGGACCGGAACUGACGCUGAGGUACGAAAGCGUGGGGAGCAAACA
rnacentral:rRNA from 1 species